UACGUAGGUGGCAAGCGUUGUCCGGAAUUAUUGGGCGUAAAGCGCGCGCAGGCGGUCCUUUAAGUCUGAUGUGAAAGCCCACGGCUCAACCGUGGAGGGUCAUUGGAAACUGGGGGACUUGAGUACAGAAGAGAAGAGUGGAAUUCCACGUGUAGCGGUGAAAUGCGUAGAGAUGUGGAGGAACACCAGUGGCGAAGGCGGCCCCCUGGGCCGUACCUGACGCUGAGGAGCGAAAGCGUGGGGAGCGAACAGG
rnacentral:rRNA from 1 species